GCGCCCGUAGCUCAAUUGGAUAGAGCGUCGGCCUCCGGAGCCGAAGGUUACGCGUUCGAACCGCGUCGGGCGUACCA
rnacentral:tRNA from 1 species